UGCAAACCGAACGCGGUUCAGUUAUUUAGUUAGUUAUCUGAAAUAAAACACCGUAAAAACUCAUUUCCACUUCCACGUAUAAAUUUUGUGCAUUAAUUCGUGUUGUGAAACAGUGACAUGGAAGAUAUACAGUUUAAUGCUAUCAAGUGAAUGGAAAUAAGCAAUCGCGAUAAUGUUUAGUUGUUUUUAUUUUAUACAGCCUGAAAUAAAUUGGACUUAACUUUCCAGUAAAGUUAGCAGUGCGACAAUGUACGCGACAUCGACGGCGUCAACGACAACGUCGGGCUCAGGGCGCGCACUGGGGGCAUCCGCGAGUGAACGACGCGUGCGCAUCGUGAGGCUGCUGCGGCCGCGCAGGGCGGCACCUGCCUUUGGGUUCUCACUGCGCGGCGGUAGCGAACAUGGCUCCGGCUUCUUCGUAUCCAAAGUCGAGUUUAACUCAGAGGCACAUCUUCAGGGAUUGAAGGUAACGCACCCACGAUUGCUCU